rnacentral:rRNA from 1 species
AUUGAACGCUGGCGGCAUGCCUUACACAUGCAAGUCGAACGGCAGCACGGGAGCUUGCUCCUGGUGGCGAGUGGCGAACGGGUGAGUAAUACAUCGGAACGUACCCAGGAGUGGGGGAUAACGUAGCGAAAGUUACGCUAAUACCGCAUAUUCUGUGAGCAGGAAAGCGGGGGAUCGCAAGACCUCGCGCUCUUGGAGCGGGCGAUGUCGGAUUAGCUAGUUGGUGAGGUAAAAGCUCACCAAGGCGACGAUCCGUAGCAGGUCUGAGAGGAUGAUCUGCCACACUGGGACGGAGACACGGCCCAGACUCCUACGGGAGGCAGCAGUGGGGAAUUUUGGACAAUGGGGGCAACCCUGAUCCAGCCAUGCCGCGUGAGUGAAGAAGGCCUUCGGGUUGUAAAGCUCUUUCGGCGGGGAAGAAAUGGCAACGGCUAAUAUCCGUUGUUGAUGACGGUACCCGCAUAAGAAGCACCGGCUAACUACGUGCCAGCAGCCGCCGUAAUAC